rnacentral:misc_RNA from 1 species
GGGGAUAUCAAAUGGUGGCAUGUGGUGGAAGAUUCCUAGCUCCACAGUUUCUAUUGUGCAGUAGAAAAGGAGGAAAUGGAAGAAAAUUGUUCACUAAUAUCAACAAUGUACAUUCUUCAGAAGAAAUGAAAAAUAAAAAUUGUGUUGUCAACACCUAUGGAAUCUCAUAUGAUCAGGAAAUUUAAUCAAGGGUUGAAGAUUAAAUUUCCACAUUUGCACUUCCAACUCAUAGGCUUGUAGUUGGAGGAGUCAUCUCCUCUUGCAUAAGCAACGUUGGAGACUGAUGAGUAGUUUCUGUUGCCAUGAUUUACUUGGGGAUUUGUAGGCACCUGUAUAGCCUCGCAAUGCCCACAGGAACUGCACCGUCUCUCGCAUCUUGGAGGCCUUGAACCUAUCUGAGACCUCAUAAUCAUCUUCUCUUCAUUUUCUGU